UGAGUUCUACCUUGACUCCCAAUCCAGUGCUCCUUCGACCACUCCUCAAGAGAAAGUGUGGGGGUCGUGGGAAGAGGGAGAGGAUGGAAGAGGCAGGGACCUCAUGCCCAGCCCCCUCCAUAGUGCCUUGCACACAGUAGGUGCUUACUAAAUACAUGCUGAAUGUCUGGGUGGGUGGAUGGAUGGACAAACGGACAAACGGGUGGGUGUGGCCUAGCUCUGUGUGUUCCAGAUCCCAGCCACCCAGCCCAGCCCUUCCUGCCUCUGCUAACCUCAUUUGGUUGCUAGCAGACUUUCAUUUCUGCCAAGUCACUGCUCUCUACCCCGUGACGGGGCUGGCUGUGCCAGGAAUUUGGAGGGAAGAAGACUGACAGACCCUGAGAACUUCACCACUAGCUCCAUUUUCAAGAUGAGGAAACUGGGGCAGGGGGAGAUUCCUGAGGUUUGUUCAGCCCCAGAACGCCUCACCCCCCCAGCUGCCUUGGGCCCCCACCCUCAUGGGGAAGCCUUAGGACCCCUCUGUCAGAUCUGGGCAUCUGGCUGGGGGCAGGGCAGGGGGAGUCUGGUCAGCAGAUGGAGUUCCCUGAGUCAUUCCCAGGCCUCCCAGAGAUGUCCUAACAACCCACGUCAUUCCAAGGAAGCUCCAGCUGACCUCUGAGAGGCACAGCUGGGCUCCCCUUCCCACUCUGAUCCAGCCUAUGGGCUCCCCCCACUGCUCCCUCCCUCACGUCCCUCCCUCCUCUGGCCUCUCUCUCUCACCUCAGGACUCAGGAGCCCACCUCUGACCCCUACAUGCACUGUGGUCUUGGGCAGGCCCCUGCCUGUCUCUGAGCCUCAGCGGCUCAGCGGGGACAGCCGACUGCCUGCGUCCCUUCUGACCUUGACCCUGCAGGCCUCCUGGCCAUCAGAGCUCUGUCCUCCCUUCUCCCUCCAUCUACACUCCCCCUUUCUCUCUGGACUCUCUCCAGGCCCCAGUGUGGCCUCCUCAACCCACCUUGCCUUCUCCAUUCUCUGUUCUUCCUCCUGCUGCCUACCCUCCUCAGAGAACGCCAAGUCUGCAGCUUUCCCUGACCUUGAAGAGACAGCAGGGUGGGAGCCAGCAGCUCGAGCUUGGCAAAGGGGCCUCUGGCAAAGAAGCCCUGUUCAGUUGGUCCUGGGGGCUGCACCGUCCUUGCAGCGCCCCCAACACACACCCUAUCCCACGUGCCCUAGUUUACUUUCCUCUAUUGCUUUUCUCAUCUUCUCACUUCAUUGAUGUAUUAUUGUCCAUCCCCUUGGUAGAAGGUCAGUUCCAUAAGGGCAGGGAUUUUUGUCUACUGUCAUCAUUGCUCUGUUCCCAACGCCCAGAACAGUGCCUAGCGCACAGCAGGUGCUCAGUGAGUAACUGAUGAAGAUUUCCUCCACUCUCCGAUGACAACCACCAUUUAUGGAGCGAGUACUUGUGCAACGCCCUUCCAACACCCCCGCCCCCCGCGCGCCUCCGAUCAACAGCCCUUUGUGCCCAGGACUAUGCCGGGCCCCUUUGGGAAGAUGGGGAAACUGAGAAUCAAGCAGGAAGAGUUCAAAGGGAAGAAGGAGUCCGAGGUCACACAGUGGUAGCUGGUAGAGACCGGAUUCGAACCCACGCAUCCAGACCACGGCGCCUGCGCUCUCAGGCGGGGGACGCUUGCAUCCCGCAACGGGAAAGCCGAGACGGCCGGCUCAAUCCAAACGCCAGGCCUCCGGCCACGCCCCUACUUGGGAACCGAGAAACUGAGGCACCCUGGCUUCCUCGGAUUCCCUGGAAGUCUCCUUCCCAAACCUGUCAAUCCGGGAACCAGCCCGCGCCCCCCAUCCCUCUCCUCGGCCCGAGACGGAGCUUCGCCCGCGCCCACCGGGAGCCGGGGAGGGAGAGAAAAAUGAGUUUUCCUGCCGCCCGGUGGCGGUGUCAAUUGAUCGGGCGCGGGCGGGGGCCGCGCGCCGGGCUGGGGGCCUUGCUCGCAGCUGCCGGCGCACAAUUAUCGGGAAAAAACUGGGGCGGCUGCUGCGGUGAAAUUAGUUAUCGAUCCCUCGGCGGGGCCGCGGGGCCGCGCUCGGCGCUGACGGCUGCAGACCCGGGCCGGGCCCGCCGGGUGGGGUGUGGGGAGGAGGGCGCAGCGGUGGGGGCGGGCCCUCCUCUCCCCCCUCCCCUCCGCCGCCCUCCCCACCCGGCAGUCCUCCUCCUCCCCGCGCCCUCCCUGCCGCUCUGCUCUCUCCUCUCCCCUUUAUCCCGCCGCGGUAUCGACCCACGGCCGGCCCCGCGCGGACAGGCGCCCCCGUGCGGCCCCCGCCCUCCGCUCUGGCCGCCCCGCCCGUGGCCCUGGCGCCCGGCGCCCCGCGUGGCGCGGGGGUGCGGAGAACGCCCCCAGUGUGGGCCCUGCCCCCGGGCCAGCGCCGGCGAGGAGGAAAGACAAACCCCUGCUCGCUGUAGACCGGGGUUCGGAGCGCUCCUGCCUGCGAAAUGUGUGGCCUUGGGCAAGCCCCUGCCUCUGUCCCGAGCCUAAUACAAAAAGGGGUUUGGACCUUAUGUCCCCCAAGGCUCCUUCAGGCUCACCCACCUUCUCUCUGCUGCCCCUUCCCCUGCCUGCCUGCCAGCCACAGCCUCAUCAUCCCUCUAGCACAGCUCCGUCCAGUAUCUGCUAUGUGCCAGGGCAUACUGAGAGCAAGAUGGCCCCUUGGGGGUUCCCUCUUGGGGCAAGGUGGGUAUUGAGCAGAUUAGGAAUAGCUGUGGUGAGUUCAGGGGACUGUGACAGGUUAUGGCUGGGGGUGGGGGAUUGGCCACCAGGGAGGACAUCCUAAGAGCAGACAUGACAUUUGAGCUGCAACUGAAGGUGGAGUAGGAGGGUUCAAGGGCAGGGGGAGCAGCAUGGGUUAAGGGUGAAGUCCAAAUGGAAUUUGGAACAUUCGAGAAACUGGGAAAGGCUAGUGUGCUGGAGGGCAAGAGAAGAGGGGGAGGUCGGCAGGGUCCAGUCAGGGAGGGGUUGGGAGUGUGAGGAUUAGUCCCAGUGAAGGGGAGCACGGAAGGGCUUUGAGUAGGGGGAUGACAGGGUCAAGUUCAUCCCUGAAGUUGGAAGCCUACAGAGGAGUCCUGGCUCUGUUCUUGGUCUCUCUGAGCCUCAGUUUCCUCCCCUGUGAAAAAGAGAUAAUGAUCUUCAUCACUGUAGGGGCUGUGGGCUUUGGAGGGGGUCAGCCCUGGGUUCAUAUUGUCUUGGGCGAGGUCAACAAGUGACUCAGUCAAAGGGGCAGGGUGGUAUGAAACUUGGGGGCUCCCCCUCCCAAGAUUUCCUGGCUCCCCAAGGGGGCUCCAAAGGUGGUGCUGAAGGUCUCCCAUGCGAAAGUGGGCCCUCUGCUGGCCACAGGAGCCCUGGUCUGAGGAAGAGGAGAGUGGGAGGAAGAUAAAAUCAAGGAGUAAUUCCUGAAUUCC